CUAAGCUAAGCAUUUAACAUUGUUUUGUUUGUACUUCUCACUUGUUCUUUGACUUUCUUCUCAGAAACUUGUUAAGAAUGGGAGAAAUACUUCUUUCUGAGCUGACUGGAACACAGUAUUUAUUUCAGUGGAAAACAGAACAGUAGGACCUUUGCAGUUUACCUUUUCCUAAAGGAAGAAAAAGAUAAUUUGAUCUUAAAAAACCUGUCAUUCUAUAAAUUUGGAAGCAGAAAAUGGUGGGAAAAUAUCUCUAAAAUUAGACUUUCUGCUGGCAUUUCAUCUUUGACGGAGAUCAUGUCUGUUCUGGAAAAAAUAAUUGGAUCUGACUUCAAGCAUCAGGAGUCUGAUGGGAGCAGCCAACCAAUUCCACUAGUCAUUGGAAUAAUAACAUCGAAAAGAAAUGUACUCUUGGGAGAGUAUGAAGUAGGAAUUACCUCAUCAACUGCACAGAUACUUCUCACUGAGGCUUUCACUCUCAGGAUUCAGCAGUGGUCUCUAGAAGAAAGCCAGCAAUGUACUCAAUCCAAAAGGAAUAGGCCACUGGGGUAG
rnacentral:lncRNA from 1 species